rnacentral:misc_RNA from 1 species
UACGAAGGGGGCUAGCGUUGUUCGGAAUUACUGGGCGUAAAGCGCACGUAGGCGGAUUGUUAAGUGAGGGGUGAUAUCCCAGGGCUCAACCCUGGAACUGCCUUUAAUACUGUCAGUCUAGAGAUCGAGAGAGGUGAGUGGAAUUCCGAGUGUAGAGAUGAAAUUCGUAGAUAUUCGGAGGAACACCAGUGGCGAAGGCGGCUCACUGGCUCGAUACUGACGCUGAGGUGCGAAAGCGUGGGGAGCAAACAGG